GGUCGCUUGAUGUAGUUGGUUAUCAUGUAUGCUUUACAUUUGAAUUUGUGAGACGCAUAAUGUCGCCAGUUCGAGUCUGGCAGUGAUCA